rnacentral:rRNA from 2 species
AGUCGAGCGGUAGAGAGGUGCUUGCACCUCUUGAGAGCGGCGGACGGGUGAGUAAUGCCUAGGAAUCUGCCUGGUAGUGGGGGAUAACGUCCGGAAACGGACGCUAAUACCGCAUACGUCCUACGGGAGAAAGCAGGGGACCUUCGGGCCUUGCGCUAUCAGAUGAGCCUAGGUCGGAUUAGCUAGUUGGUGAGGUAAUGGCUCACCAAGGCGACGAUCCGUAACUGGUCUGAGAGGAUGAUCAGUCACACUGGAACUGAGACACGGUCCAGACUCCUACGGGAGGCAGCAGUGGGGAAUAUUGGACAAUGGGCGAAAGCCUGAUCCAGCCAUGCCGCGUGUGUGAAGAAGGUCUUCGGAUUGUAAAGCACUUUAAGUUGGGAGGAAGGGUACUUACCUAAUACGUGAGUAUUUUGACGUUACCGACAGAAUAAGCACCGGCUAACUCUGUGCCAGCAGCCGCGGUAAUACAGAGGGUGCGAGCGUUAAUCGGAAUUACUGGGCGUAAAGCGCGCGUAGGUGGUUCGUUAAGUUGGAUGUGAAAUCCCCGGGCUCAACCUGGGAACUGCAUCCAAAACUGGCGAGCUAGAGUAUGGUAGAGGGUGGUGGAAUUUCCUGUGUAGCGGUGAAAUGCGUAGAUAUAGGAAGGAACACCAGUGGCGAAGGCGACCACCUGGACUGAUGCUGACACUGGGGGGCGAAAGCGUGGGGAGCAAACGGGAUUACAUCCCCUGGUAGUCCACGCCGUAGAACGAUGUCAACUAGCCGUUGGGAGCCUUGAGCUCUUAGUGGCGCAGCUAACGCAUUAAGUUGACCGCCUGGGGAGUACGGCCGCAAGGUUAAAACUCAAAUGAAUUGACGGGGGCCCGCCCAAGCGGUGGAGCAUGUGGUUUAAUUCGAAGCAACGCGAAGAACCUUACCAGGCCUUGACAUCCAAUGAACUUUCCAGAGAUGGAUUGGUGCCUUCGGGAACAUUGAGACAGGUGCUGCAUGGCUGUCGUCAGCUCGUGUCGUGAGAUGUUGGGUUAAGUCCCGUAACGAGCGCAACCCUUGUCCUUAGUUACCAGCACGUUAUGGUGGGCACUCUAAGGAGACUGCCGGUGACAAACCGGAGGAAGGUGGGGAUGACGUCAAGUCAUCAUGGCCCUUACGGCCUGGGCUACACACGUGCUACAAUGGUCGGUACAAAGGGUUGCCAAGCCGCGAGGUGGAGCUAAUCCCAUAAAACCGAUCGUAGUCCGGAUCGCAGUCUGCAACUCGACUGCGUGAAGUCGGAAUCGCUAGUAAUCGCGAAUCAGAAUGUCGCGGUGAAUACGUUCCCGGGCCUUGUACACACCGCCCGUCACACCAUGGGAGUGGGUUGCACCAGAAGUAGCUAGUCUAACCUUCGGGAGGACGGUUACCACG